GGAAACCAUCAGAAGAGUCAAUGUCAUUUUUCAAAGAUUGCUGCAUAAAUCUUGGCAUCACAGCCAUCGAGUUAAUCUGCAAGGAAAAGUAGUAUACCCUGCUUAUGCUGCUCUGAGGGAAUGCCUAGACAAGUCAUUAUACAUGAAACACAAGAUAAUGAGGCAAACCUGUGCAGUAUUAAGAGCUACAUUCUUGCAAUCAGGUAAGAUGCUCACAGACCAUGCAGGCAAGUGAUAUGAAUUGCCACUGAAAUUCACAGUAGCAUCAGAAUUGGUGCGCACAUUGGCAAGAAACGCAGCACAUGACCCUGUUCCUGUUUUAUAGACACUGGCCUGAAAUGGGAAUAAGUCCACAGUAAGAAAUAUUUUUGCAUGCAACUCCACAAAUAAAUCUUUGGCACUGCAAUUAAUAUCAUAUGAUUAUGAUCAGAGCAUUUUGCAUCCUUGAAGCAUCUAAUCAUGGGAAAGAAAUGGUGUCGUCAAACAGUAAGUAUCUAUCCGUCAGGAAGAAGAAACCAUGCACUUCCGGAGUAGAAACUAUGUGCUCCUGUCCUUGAUUAAGGAGUAAAGAGUAUACCUCCAAAUUUGUACCAAGAGAAGUAAUUGUUGGGUCAGUGGCGAUCAGUGCUGCUUCACAAAGCUUUAUGGCCUUAUGCAGAUCUUUUAGGUGACCCCACUUGGGUUGUCUGAGAAGUCCUGCAAUGUACACAGAAAAUGUCUCUAUUUACAGAUGACAAUGUAAGAGCAUUACAAGUUCUCAAAGAUUCUAGUAAGUUGCAGAAUUAUAUUGGCUACAAGUUAUUUAGGUUGCAAGCGGUUGAUGACCUGGUUCUUAUCUUUGCCAGGGAAAAAAAGGAAUAAAUGAAAAAAAAGACAACCUGGAUUCUUA